rfam:Ruegeria atlantica strain CECT 4293 genome assembly, contig: 0031
AUGACCGAUGCCAAAAUACCCGACGCGCAAUACGGGUUGGAAAAGGCGCUAACCUUCACGCUUGCCGCCCAUGCUGGUGCCAAUCGUUUGUGCGAAUUCG